GCAUCUAAGCGGGAAACUCGUUCCAAGAUGAGAUCUGCCGGGGCCUUGAGCCCCCUAAAGAGUCGUUCAAGACCAGGACGUUGAUAGGCUGGGUGUGGAAGCGCAGUAAUGCGUUAAGCUAACCAGUACUAAUUGCUCGUGAGGCUUGACCCU
rnacentral:rRNA from 1 species